rnacentral:rRNA from 1 species
CCCUUAGAUGUUCUGGGCUGCACGCGUGCUACACUGAUAUUGCCAAUAUGUCAUUCUUAUCCGAAAUGGAUUGGGUAAUCAAGUAAUGAAAUUUCAUGCUUGGAAUCGGUAAUUGCAAUUUUAUCGUGAACGAGGAAUUCCUAGUAAGCACUAGUCAUCAGCUAAUGUUGAUUACGUCCCUGCCCUUUGUACACACCGCCCGUCGCUACUACCGAUUGAAUGAUUUAGUGAGUACCAGGGACCGAGCGCUUUGGUUGGGUUUCCUUCCCUAGCGCUUGGGAACUGUCGCAAACUUGACCAUUUAGAGGAAGUAAAAGUCGUAACA